rnacentral:rRNA from 1 species
CGGGUGCGGAACACGUACGCAACCUCCCUUCAAGUGGGGAAUAGCCCAGGGAAACUUGGAUUAAUACCCCGUAAUAUUUCGAGGUGGCAUCACCUUGAUCUUAUAGCUACGGCGCUUGAAGAUGGGCGUGCGACUGAUUAGGUAGUUGGCGGGGUAACGGCCCACCAAGCCUGCGAUCAGUAACUGGUGUGAGAGCACGACCAGUCACACGGGCACUGAGACACGGGCCCGACUCCUACGGGAGGCAGCAGUAAGGAAUAUUGGUCAAUGGACGCAAGUCUGAACCAGCCAUGCCGCGUGGAGGAUGAAGGUCCUCUGGAUUGUAAACUUCUUUUAUUUGGGAAGAAACCCACGGUUUCUACUGUGGUUGACGGUACCAGAUGAAUAAGCACCGGCUAACUCCGUGCCAGCAGCCGCGGUAAUACGGAGGGUGCAAGCGUUAUCCGGAUUCACUGGGUUUAAAGGGUGCGUAGGCGGGCAGGUAAGUCAGUGGUGAAAUCCCCGAGCUUAACUUGGGAACUGCCGUUGAUACUAUCUGUCUUGAAUGUUGUGGAGGUAAGCGGAAUAUGUCAUGUAGCGGUGAAAUGCUUAGAUAUGACAUAGAACACCUAUUGCGAAGGCAGCUUGCUACACAACCAUUGACGCUGAGGCACGAAAGCGUGGGGAUCAAACAGGAUUAGAUACCCUGGUAGUCCACGCCCUAAACGAUGGAUACUCGACAUCAGCGAUACACUGUUGGUGUCUGAGCGAAAGCAUUAAGU